CAGUAGCCACGGUAACACGUAGGGUGCAAGCGUUGUCCGGAAUUAUUGGGCGUAAAGAGCUCGUAGGCGGUUUGUCGCGUCUGUUGUGAAAUCCCGAGGCUCAACCUCGGGCUUGCAGUGGGUACGGGCAGACUAGAGUGCGGUAGGGGAGAUUGGAAUUCCUGGUGUAGCGGUGGAAUGCGCAGAUAUCAGGAGGAACACCGAUGGCGAAGGCAGAUCUCUGGGCCGUAACUGACGCUGAGGAGCGAAAGCGUGGGGAGCGAACAGGAUUAGAGACCCCAGUAGUCCCUGUCUCUUAUAC
rnacentral:rRNA from 1 species